rnacentral:lncRNA from 1 species
AUGAGGUUUUCUUCUUUUCCUUUUCUUUUCUUUUCUUUUCUUUUUUUUCUUUUUUCAAGACAGGGUUUCUCUGUGUAGCCCUUACUGUCCUGGAACUAUGUAGACUAGGCUGGCCUCGAACUCAGAAAUCCACUUGCCUCUGCCUCCCAAGUGCUGGGAUUAAAGGCAUGCGCCACCACUGCCUGGCUCAUAUGAGUUUUUUGAUUAAAAAAACUGAAGAAUUUUGUGAGAAUUUUGAUGGGGAUUAUUUUAAAUCUGCAGAUUGCUUGGUAUGGGAUCAUGGUUAGUCUUUUCAUCUUCUGUUGCUUCUUUCAUUCUCUUCAUUAUUUAUACUUUUCAUUGUAGAGAUCUAGUUAAGUUUAUUAUUUUGUUGUUGGUGGUGCUUUGCUUUCAGGCUAUUGUGAAUGAGGUUUUUUCUUGAUUUAUUUUUUUCUCUCAUCAUACUCAUUGAUGGGUAUAAUUUACAUUUCCCAGGUGACUACUAAUUUUAGUGUUUUGAUUUUAUAUCCUGCUAUUUUGCUGAAAGUUCUCUCAGAUCUUGAGUUUUCUAGUGGAGUGUCGGGCAUCUUUUAAGUAUAGAUUCAUGUCACUUGUAAAUAUAGAUCAUUUACUUUUUUACUGUUUAUAUAAUUUUUAUUUCUUUUGAGGAGUUUUGUUUUUUGAGAUUAAGGUCUUGCUAUAUAUCCCUAGCUGGCCUGGACCUCCCAGUAUAGACCAGACUUGGAUUUGAAGAGACCCACCUGCCUCUGCUUUCAGAGUGCUGGGGAGAAGGGCGGGCAGUCCUGUCUCAGUCUCAGUCAGUCUCCGACGCUUUCAGUGUUUCCCCUAUCAGUGUCAGGUUGACUGUAGGCUUUUUUGUCAGUAACCUCACUAUUUUGAGGUACUAUGUAUUGAUGAUGAUUAAUUGUGAUCUUUGUAUUACAAGUUUCUAACAGCCUUUUAUGAACAGAUACAAAUUUGUCAAAGGCUUUUAGGUUUCUUUUAAGAUGGUUGAUUUCCCCCACCCACCCAAUUUUGUGUUUGUUACCUUACAUUUAUUGAUUUAUGUAUGCUGAGCUAUUUUUACAUUCCUGAAAACAGACUUGGUCAUAAUCUCUUAGUGUAUUUUUGUUUAGUCUGCAAAUAUUUUAAUGUGGCUUUUUGUUUGUUUAAUCAAGGAAAUUGGUCUGUAGUUGGUUGUUCUUACUAUUUCCUUAUCUCUGCUGGCUUAGUAGAUGAGUUUGUAGUGUUCCUUCCCUGUCUGUCUCAUGGAACAGAUUAAGGAGCAUUGAUGGUCUUUAAAGAUCUGGUAGAGUGCAGCCGUGACUCCAUCUGCUCAUAAGAUUUUUCCUUGUUGUAAUUUUUUUAUUACUGUUGUAAUACUGCUUGCUGUUCAUCUUUGAGGAUUUUGUUUGUUUGUUUGUUUGUUUGUUUUUUAUCUUCUUGGGUCAAUUCUGGUAUGUUACACAUACCUAGAAAUUUAUUCUAAAAAAUUCAACUUAUUGGAACACAAGAUUUCAAAAUAUUCCUAAUGACCCUUUGUAUGUCACUGGUAUUCUUUUUAAAAGCUACUCUUUUGGUCUUUCCUUUUAUUAAUUUGGGUCAUGUAUCUUUGCUUAAAUAAGGGUUUGUUAAUCUUGUUUAAGUUCUCAAAGAGUGAGCCUUUUGUUUUUAUUGGUCCUUUUUACUGUUGCUUUAAUCACCAUUUUAUUUCUCUCCUUGAUUUUCUUUCCUUCUAAUUUUAGAUUUUGUUUUUCCUAGACUAUGUGAUAAAUCAUUAGGUUAUUCUAGUGAGAUAUUGGGGUUUUUGAUAUGUGUACUCUUAGAUAUAAAUUUCCCCCUAAAACAGCUUUUGCUGUAUCUCACCUGCUUUAAUAUGUUCUCAUUUUUAUUGGAUUGUAAGACAUUUUUAAUUUCUCUCAAUUUCUUUAAAAAUUUGUAGGUUCAUUUCUCUGUAUGUUUGUAUAUUUUCUGUAGUUCCACUUGGUAUUGGUUUCAUUUUGAUUUGGAGAGAUAAAAGAAAGCACUUCAAUAUUUUUGUAUUUGCUAAUAUUUGUUUUUAUAUCCUAAAAUGUAAUCAGUUUUGGAGACAGUGUCAUAGGUGGGCAAGAGCAGUAUGUAUGCUGUAACUCUUGAAUGGGAUAGUCUAUAGGUGUUACUAAAGCCAUAUGAUAUAUGGUAUAGUUUAACUCAAAAGUUUCUUGGUUGAUUUUUUUUUUUUUUUUGGUCUAGAUAAUCUGUCAUGAGAGAGGAGUAUUAAAGUCAUGUCUUAUAAUAUGUAGACAAGUAGUGUUUGAUGGGACAAAUAGCUGCCUAAUGCUCAGUGAUUUUCUUGCUUUUAAUUUUUAAUAUACAAAUAUAACCUAUUCCUGCUUACUCUUGGGUUCUCUGUUUGCUUGCAAUGCAUGCCCUGGUAAGGUGAUUUUCUUGCACACAGUUGGCUUUUGUUUUUUUAACCAAACAUAUAUGCGUUAAACCAAACCCGUUUAUGUGUUUCAAUUGAAAGAUUAAACCUUGCCUCUAGGGUUAUUAAAUCAUAUGCAGAGUUUUUCCGUAUUGCUGGAAGUAUACACUGCUGUUUUGGUAGUCAUUAAUUGCUUUGCUUUAUGCUCAUUGUGGCUUCUUUUUUUUCUUCCUUCAGAUUUCAAAGAUAAUUUUGCUAUAUACAGAAAUUGUGGUUGGCAGUCACUUUCAGGAUGUAAAAUACAUUAGCACAUGCUCUUCUAUUUUUCUAUUGAGCAUUUGUUAUUUUGAUAGGUCCAUAGUAAUAAAGAACGUACCUUCUGCCUUGAAACUUCAGCAUCUUUUUUUUUUUUUUUUGACUCUGAACAUUGUAAAUGUAAGAUGAUUUGGGAGGAUUUCUGGUCACUAUUACGGAUUCCUAAUGUGUCCUAUAGUUGGAUGUUUCUCUUUCCUUAAACCUAAGAGAGUUUUCUGCUAUAAUUUCUCCUCCUCUCUUCCCUUCCCUUCUUUGGGGAUAAGAUGUUGCUAUAUAGCCUAGGCUGGCGUAGAACUCACUGUGGUGAUCCUCUUGCUUCAGACUCCCAAGUACUGGGAAUAUAGGCAUGUGCCAUCACACCCAGCUUUAGAGCUUCCUUCAGUACCAAAGACUUGUAUUCUUAAUUAUAGCCUAGAAAUCUUAAAAGUUGUGAUGAUACAUUCCCUAUACCGUUGCUGUCUGAAUGUAUUCUCAACCCUUUUCAUUGGCUCUAUUCUAUUUAUUGAGCUUUUCAUUACUAGGGGCUCCCACACCCCAAUUCUGUAUGAAUUUGCUGAAUUAGGGUUGCUGAAUUUCUUGUCCAAGUCAUAAAUUGACAUUAUUUGUUUAUUUGAAUCCUCUUUGAGGUCAUUGAUACAUUUUUAAAAUCGCACACACAUGUGAAUGUGUUUGUGUGUGUUCCCAACAUUCCAGCCAUUUCCCUAGUUUUGAAUUUGGUUACUGAAGAUUUAUUCCAUUUACGAGGAAUUCUGAUAUCUUUCUUUUUCAAGUUGUUUUUCUACUGUGGUUGUGCAGUUAUUGGGAUGUGUAUCUCUUUAGUUUUAUAUGUGACUGUGUUAGUGAGGAACCUUUUUUUGAGGACUCAAUUCCCAGGACUCUUCAGAGAAGAAAGCUAGUGGUAGCUAAGAGCAGCAAUACCCAAGCAAACCAAAUAUAGAAAUACAAUAAAAAAAUCAAUUAAAGACUGCUAUAUCACUUAAUCAUAGAAAAAGAAAGAGCAAUGUGGAAUAAGCUAUGAAAUUAAAACUAUGAAAGAAGAGUUAAUAAAAGAAUGAAAAGAGGAGGAGG